AUCCAGCUGUCAAGUCCCUAAUAGGACGAAAUGCGUAUCGAACUGGAU
rnacentral:hammerhead_ribozyme from 1 species